GUGCAUUCUUAAACCCUCUUGGUAGCUCCACUGUAAAGGCUUCCAAGAUAUGAGUGAAUGCUAUAGAAAUCGCAGGGGCGUCCAAAAGGCUGCACGUUUCCUGUGGCUCAGCCUUAUUUCAUACCUGCGACAUCU
ensembl:snoRNA